rnacentral:rRNA from 1 species
GACGGAGGGGGCUAGCGUUGUUCGGAAUUACUGGGCGUAAAGAGUGCGUAGGCGGGUCUUUAAGUCAGGGGUGAAAUCCUGGAGCUCAACUCCAGAACUGCCUUUGAUACUGAGGAUCUUGAGUUCGGGAGAGGUGAGUGGAACUCCGAGUGUAGAGGUGAAAUUCGUAGAUAUUCGGAAGAACACCAGUGGCGAAGGCGGCUCACUGGCCCGGUACUGACGCUGAGAUACGAAAGCGUGGGGAGCAAACAGG